rnacentral:lncRNA from 7 species
UGUUGCAGCUGAAUUUCUGCACGGCAGCCUUUCUCGAUUGCAGUAGGGCUUCCCUGGCUUGAAGAUGGGUGUGCUGUCCUGAGGGAGGAGCAGUGUUGGCUGUCUUACAGUGACCUUCUGCUUUCCUUUAAGAAGAGUCCACUAAGAACUGUAUCGGGUUUUUCAGUAGGAGGCUGUCACUGGAACACACAGGAACAGUCAGAGCAAUUACUGCAUUGGACUGUCUGAGCUGAAAGUUGAUGGUGCAUCCCUCUGGUAGAGGGAACGCAAAAAAGAGAGGUCUCAAAUCAGUAGUGAGUUUAUUGCUGAAGAGCAAAGAUUUGUAUCUCACCCUAAGCUGGGUGUUCUUCACUGCCACAAGCCCAGUCAUUUCACUAUACCCAUGUUCUGCCUGGUACCACUCUGACUACCUUCUACCACUAACAACCAGAAUGGCUGAGCAAGGAGUACUGUUUGCAGCUAGGAAGCCGAAAACAGCCAAAAAACCCUUCUGUUGCUUCCUUCUGUGUUCUGUGGGGGUGCACAGUCAGAAGAGAGCUUCCACCAUGCAUACCAGUCCUUAUAAAGUAUCUUUCCUUAUGAGCACCAGUACGGACUCCCUUUCACUGUCUCUUUUAGCUGGAGAGCUGGGCUGUGCAUCUGUGUUCCUCCAUCUACAAUGAGAAGAAAGGAUUUCCUUUUUUUUUUUUAAAUUUUGUUGUUGUAACAAGUAACAAAUAAAAUUCAAGGGAGCUUG